CACAGACAGAAAGAGACUAAGAACGAGACUGGAAAUCGUUUAGAAAAGAAAUGAAAACCGAUCGCUCGCAGAAAUGUCGGUGCCGGUGGAGGUCGGAGGGGGCGGCGCCUCACGUCAGCUCCAGGACCACUGUUAGGGCGAGCACCAGGCAUGGCAGCAAGCUGAUGACUUUUUCUGCUGAGUGAGCCGAGGUGACGUCCUCCCCCGGCCUGCGUGUUUCUGACCCCACACAGGCAGCACUUUCUGGAACCCUCACCGACCGAGGGAGCCUGCACCCUCCCGGGCUCGCCGCCCUGACCUGCACCUUACCCACACACCGCCUGGAACCCCAGCCCCGAGCACCUGCCUGAGGUGGCGCCCACCUGUGCCCAAGCCUUACCCAGCGUGACCUCCGCCUGCAUGGGCAUCGACAGCGCCGGGUGCUUGACCUCGCAGCUGAAGAGGGCCUCGUUGUCGAUCUGCGGGUUGAGGGUCCAGGUGAGCAGGGC